CCAGGCCCUAUGGGGCGCAGCAGGCGCGAAACCUCUGCAAUAGGCGAAAGCCUGACAGGGUUACUCUGAGUGGUUCCCGCUAAGGGGAUCUUUUGGCACCUCUAAAAAUGGUGCAGAAUAAGGGGUGGGCAAGUCUGGUGUCAGCCGCCGCGGUAAUACCAGCACCCCGAGUGGUCGGGACGUUUAUUGGGCCUAAAGCAUCCGUAGCCGGUUCUACAAGUCUUCCGUUAAAUCCACCUGCUUAACAGAUGGGCUGCGGAAGAUACUAUAGAGCUAGGAGGCGGGAGAGGCAAGCGGUACUCGAUGGGUAGGGGUAAAAUCCGUUGAUCCAUUGAAGACCACCAGUGGCGAAGGCGGCUUGCCAGAACGCGCUCGACGGUGAGGGAUGAAAGCUGGGGGAGCAAACCGGAUUAGAUACCCGGGUAGUCCCAGCUGUAAACGAUGCAGACUCGGUGAUGAGUUGGCUUAUUGCUAACUCAGUGCCGCAGGGAAGCCGUUAAGUUUGCCGCCUGGGGGGUACGGUCGCAAGACUGAAACUUAAAGGAAU
rnacentral:rRNA from 1 species